UACGUAGGGUGCGAGCGUUGUCCGGAAUUAUUGGGCGUAAAGAGCUUGUAGGCGGUUUGUCGCGUCUGCUGUGAAAAUCCGGGGCUCAACCCCGGACUUGCAGUGGGUACGGGCAGACUAGAGUGUGGUAGGGGAGACUGGAAUUCCUGGUGUAGCGGUGGAAUGCGCAGAUAUCAGGAGGAACACCUAUGGCGAAGGCA
rnacentral:rRNA from 1 species